AGGGGUGUCGCCAAGCGGCCGAAGGCACUGGCCUUUGAAGCCAGUCAUCGUGAGUUCGAAUCUCACCACCCUUGCCA
rnacentral:tRNA from 1 species